UACGUAGGGUGCGAGCGUUAAUCGGAAUUACUGGGCGUAAAGCGUGCGCAGGCGGCUUGCCAAGUCAGAUGUGAAAGCCCCGGGCUCAACCCGGGAACUGCGUUUGAAACUGGCAGGCUAGAGUUUGGCAGAGGGGGGUGGAAUUCCACGUGUAGCAGUGAAAUGCGUAGAUAUGCGGAGGAACACCGAUGGCGAAGGCAAUCCCCUGGACCUGUACUGACGCUCAUGCACGAAAGCGUGGGGAGCAAACAGG
rnacentral:rRNA from 1 species